GCCAUAAUGACAAUUAAAAGGAGUGCUAUAUAAAUAAAAAUGUUGGCUUACUUAAAAAGUUUAGUUGGAGCAGAGGAGAAAAUUGUGGAGAUUAUGAAGAGAAGAGUAAAGAGGAGGAAGCAAUUAAAGAGUUUGAGAAUGAACAAUUUUCUACACUUAAGAAUAUCUACUAUCUGGAAAGGCGAGCUCAAUUUGAGACAAGAAUAUUUUAUAUAAAUAUCAAAGGACACCAGUAAAGACAGAAAAUGACACAAAUGAGAAGGGUAAUUCGGAAGCAUAUAACAGCAAAAAUCAAGGGCAAAGCCUGAGGCGGUGGCACGAAGGGUGCGAAGACUUGUUCCUGUAACGAGAAUGUUUUAGGAUUAUAAUAAUGGUAGAUUGUACUUUUGAACUUAUCAUUGUAAUAUUAUAAUAGAUUGCGUGGAAGUGUAAGUUCGACCCUGGACUUGUGGGGCGAGCUAUGUAUUGGAAGUCAGGUAUGCUAUAAUAAUGUGACGGCCUAGAUCCGGGAUAUAUGGAUCUGGGGGCGUUACAAAUGUAUCUAAGUUGUUCCAGACAGAUUGAACUAUAAUAUCAUGUAUCUAUAAAGCUUCUGCUCAAUUCAUGGCAA